ACCAGCGGCGACAGCACGUUGAAUGCACCAGUUCCCAAGGAUCACUGAAGUUAAGAAACAUUGCGCGUGGUUAGUACCUGGAUGGUGACCAUGUGGGGAGGCGCAUGCUGCUGGGU
rnacentral:rRNA from 1 species